UCUCAAAAGUACACAUGCACAUAUGUUUUAAAGAGUGAUUGAAGGGCAUUUAAAGAAAUUUCAAGUGGGUUUCAAGAUACAAGAGAAAUAAGCAAAGAUCGGCUUCAUUGGAGAAGAUUUGGUGACAUGCAAGCUAUCAAAACUAUGGAUGCAUGGUGGAUUCAAAGUGAAAGAGACGUGGUAAGCAUAAUAUUAUGUUUUAAGGCCUACGAUUGGUAAAAUCUUUGAGGAAAUAAUUUGUGAAUUAUGUUGGCAGCUUGAAGAUUACGCAACCUUAAAGGUAAAAAUGAAUAAUGCUUUAAGUAUAGUUGAGAGAUUUCGAGAAUGACUAUUGUUGUGUGAUUGGAAUUUUGAAAGGUACAUUCUGAGGAAUAAUGGUCUUUGAAAGAAUUUAAAAUGCAUGAGUUAGUUGGAAAUGUUAAGUUGCAUGGUAUAUUAUUCGAAAGAAAUAAGGAGGAAUAAUGAGGAUGGAGGAUUGGAAAAUAAAGCAUUGAAAGUUAGAUAGAUAAUGAUGCAUGUAAACUUGAAAAUAAUUGAGUAAAAAUGGGAAUGAUUGUUGCUGCCAUAUAUAUGGUUAAUAUUAUGAAAAUAUAAGAUGGAUUUGGAUAAAAGUUGCUUGGAAAAGUUGAAAUGGGCACUUAAUGAUAUAAAUAAAUUGCCGGUACAUAUAAUACAAAGAAUUACGAAGGUAAAAGAUAUGAAUUCCUUUAGUAAAAAUAUGUCAAAAUGUAUGUGAAUAUGCAAAGGUUAAGUGAGAAAGAAUGGUAAUUCUAGCAUGAUGUAAGUUAUUAAAAUGAUGAUUAAUGUUUGGACGAGAAAGAAAAAUAGAAAUGAUAAACACUAAGUAUAUUAAAUUUGGUUUAUUGCUAGAAAGUGUGCAAGUGGAAAAGAAUUACUGUGGCAAUUAACUAAAGAAGGAAACGUAACUGGAUAAGGGGUGAAGCGAUAUCCCACCAUUGUAAGAUAGUGAUCAGCCUAGCGUGUAGUGAUUAGCAUUUAUUGACCAUUAUGGAUAGGUAAAGGCAUCUUUUAGCACUUUAUUUAGAGUUGCUCUACUGUUAAAGGUCGAGUCAACUAUAGCAAAAAUUGAUUAUAAAUAGUGUAAAUGUUAAUAUGCAUUGGGUACUAUAGAUUUAAUGUAUUCUUACGAUUAUGGCGAAUAAAGGAUAAUAUGGCUUAU